rnacentral:rRNA from 1 species
GAUGAACGCUGGCGGCGUGCCUAAUACAUGCAAGUCGAGCGAACAGACGAGGAGCUUGCUCCUCUGACGUUAGCGGCGGACGGGUGAGUAACACGUGGAUAACCUACCUAUAAGACUGGGAUAACUUCGGGAAACCGGAGCUAAUACCGGAUAAUAUAUUGAACCGCAUGGUUCAAUAGUGAAAGACGGUUUUGCUGUCACUUAUAGAUGGAUCCGCGCCGCAUUAGCUAGUUGGUAAGGUAACGGCUUACCAAGGCAACGAUGCGUAGCCGACCUGAGAGGGUGAGCGGCACCACUGGAACUGGGACACGGUCCAGACUCCUACGGGAGGCAGCAGUAGGGAAUCUUCCGCAAUGGGCGAAAGCCUGACGGAGCAACGCCGCGUGAGUGAUGAAGGUCUUCGGAUCGUAAAACUCUGUUAUUAGGGAAGAACAAAUGUGUAAGUAACUAUGCACGUCUUGACGGUACCUAAUCAGAAAGCCACGGCUAACUACGUG